UGGUUCAUCGACACUAGAGCCCAGUUGGUAACCACACCAGCGACUCUGUUACCUUUCACGAUCAGAUCCUCUGCGGCUACGGCGUUGAAGAGCUUGACGUUGGGACGAGCCAAAAGCUUGCUCAUGAUGGUUGAUGUGAAGAGAGCAGCGUGCUUGAUCACCACGUAGUUGUCUUGUUCGUCGUAAGCAACACCAAUCUCAUCUAGGAACAGAUGUGCUGGUUUGCGCACAAUCUGUCAAAAUAUGAAAUAUCACAACAAUUCUUAACUAGUCUAAUAUCACAAUAUCAUCGAAUGAUUUUGACAUUAAAUAUUUAAUUUUGUUAAGUUUCCUGGACUUCCAAUAUAAAACUAAUUGGCUAUAAAUGGAGAAAUUCAAGUCCCUUAUAUACUAGUGUUGGUCUCUUUAAACUUACGAUGUGGGAUUCUAACAAAUUUCUUCUAAAUUGGGAUUUAAUUAGUUAUAGUGAUUCCUCUUAUACCUAACUCGUACAUUACGAAUCUCCAGAUUCUGAACUGAUCUAACAUGCAAAUCAACCUAAAUCCUUCAAAUACGAUACAGAGAGAGAGAGAUUUUUGGAUCGUUACCAUGGCGGAGAAAAGCUGACCACCGAGCCACGCGCCACCUCCGGGACUAACGGAUUGUUCAAUGAUCGCGACCUGAACGUUAGGGUUCUUACUGAUCUCGUAAGCACAGGAUAAUCCGGCGGAUCCAGCACCGACAACGACGACGUCGGUCUCGGCGUAAGUGAUCAUAUCAGUCAUGUACCGCCUGGUCAUCUCACGAGAGACGAUCGAUUCCUUUAUGGGAUCGAAAGUGAAGGCGUUUAGAUCGUAGCCAGAAGUGGCGCGAACGGAAAGAGAGGCAGAUCGUGGUUUGAGACCGACGGAGAUAGGUGCGGCCGAGAUUGAUGAGCCAUGGAAGGAGGAGUCGAAAAGCCUUUGAGGCUUGGUGGAAGAGAGAGAGAGAGUGGAAGUAAUGGCCGCCAUUUGAGAGAAAGAGGAAGGUUUUAGUUUCAGGUAUUAGUGAUGAUGAUGGUGAA
rnacentral:lncRNA from 1 species